AUUUAUCAAAGGGAACAUGUAUACUAAGUUUCAAGUUGAUUGGACUUCUACUUUAUCAAAAACUACCUUGACCAAAAACUUUAACCUGAAAUUUGCACUAUCAUUUUCUAUGUUCAGUGAACCGUAAAAUUGGGGUCAAAACUCUAAUUUGGCAUUCAAAUUAGACAGAUCAUAUCAUAGGGCACAUGUAUACUAAGUUUCAAGUUGAUUGGACUUCAACUUCAUCAAAAACUACCUUGACCAAAAACUUUAACCUGAAGCGGGACAGACGGACGAACGAACGGACGAACGAACAGACGGACGGAC
rnacentral:lncRNA from 1 species